rnacentral:rRNA from 1 species
CAGCCGCCACGGUAAUACGAAGGGGGCUAGCGUUGCUCGGAAUCACUGGGCGUAAAGGGUGCGUAGGCGGGUUUUUAAGUCAGAGGUGAAAUCCUGGAGCUCAACUCCAGAACUGCCUUUGAUACUGAAAGUCUUGAGUAUGGGAGAGGUGAGUGGAACUGCGAGUGUAGCGGUGAAAUGCGUAGAGAUCGGAAGGAACACCAGUGGCGAAGGCGGCUACCUGGACAAAUACUGACGCUGAGGCGCGAAAGCGUGGGGAGCAAACAGGAUUAGAUACCCCAGUAGUCCCUGUCUCUUAUAC